AUGGGGUCCAACGAGGCGGACAAGCCGCUGCGGCGGAUCGGUGCAUCGUUUGAGCAGCUCGCGGCCGUCGCCAAGCCGCAGCAGCAGCCCGCGAUGGCGGCGGGGGACUUCUUGCGUGCCUGCUCCAACGUCUCCGUCCUCUUCGGCUGCCUCGGCAUCGCCUUCAAAUUUGCCGAGAUGGACUAUGACGCCAAGUAUUGA
rnacentral:rRNA from 1 species